AGGCAAGAUGUUGGCAUAGCUGUUGACCUAAUAACCUGCUAUGCCAACAUAUUGUCAUC
rnacentral:pre_miRNA from 1 species